CGACAGGCUUAACACAUGCAAGUCGAGGGGCAGCGGGGGUAGCGAUACCCGCCGGCGACCGGCGCACGGGUGAGUAACGCGUAUGCAACUUGCCUAUCAGAGGGGGAUAACCCGGCGAAAGUCGGACUAAUACCGCAUGAAGCAGGGGCCCCGCAUGGGGAUAUUUGCUGAAGAUUCAUCGCUGAUAGAUAGGCAUGCGUUCCAUUAGGCAGUUGGCGGGGUAACGGCCCACCAAACCGACGAUGGAUAGGGGUUCUGAGAGGAAGGUCCCCCACAUUGGUACUGAGACACGGACCAAACUCCUACGGGAGGCAGCAGUGAGGAAUAUUGGUCAAUGGCCGAGAGGCUGAACCAGCCAAGUCGCGUGAGGGAUGAAGGUUCUAUGGAUCGUAAACCUCUUUUAUAAGGGAAUAAAGUGCGGGACGUGUCCCGUUUUGUAUGUACCUUAUGAAUAAGGAUCGGCUAACUCCGUGCCAGCAGCCGCGGUAAUACGGAGGAUCCGAGCGUUAUCCGGAUUUAUUGGGUUUAAAGGGUGCGUAGGCGGCCUUUUAAGUCAGCGGUGAAAGUCUGUGGCUCAACCAUAGAAUUGCCGUUGAAACUGGGGGGCUUGAGUAUGUUUGAGGCAGGCGGAAUGCGUGGUGUAGCGGUGAAAUGCAUAGAUAUCACGCAGAACCCCGAUUGCGAAGGCAGCCUGCCAAGCCAUUACUGACGCUGAUGCACGAAAGCGUGGGGAUCAAACAGGAUUAGAUACCCUGGUAGUCCACGCAGUAAACGAUGAUCACUAGCUGUUUGCGAUACACUGUAAGCGGCACAGCGAAAGCGUUAAGUGAUCCACCUGGGGAGUACGCCGGCAACGGUGAAACUCAAAGGAAUCGACGGGGGCCCGCACAAGCGGAGGAACAUGUGGUUUAAUUCGAUGAUACGCGAGGAACCUUACCCGGGUUUGAACGCAUUCGGACCGAGGUGGAAACACCUUUUCUAGCAAUAGCCGUUUGCGAGGUGCUGCAUGGUUGUCGUCAGCUCGUGCCGUGAGGUGUCGGCUUAAGUGCCAUAACGAGCGCAACCCUUGCCACUAGUUACUAACAGGUAAAGCUGAGGACUCUGGUGGGACUGCCAGCGUAAGCUGCGAGGAAGGCGGGGAUGACGUCAAAUCAGCACGGCCCUUACAUCCGGGGCGACACACGUGUUACAAUGGCGUGGACAAAGGGAAGCCACCUGGCGACAGGGAGCGAAUCCCCAAACCACGUCUCAGUUCGGAUCGGAGUCUGCAACCCGACUCCGUGAAGCUGGAUUCGCUAGUAAUCGCGCAUCAGCCAUGGUGCGGUGAAUACGUUCCCGGGCCUUGUACACACCGCCCGUCAAGCCAUGGGAGCCGGGGGUACCUGAAGUCCGUAACCGAAAGGAUCGGCCUAGGGUAAAACUGGUGACUGGG
rnacentral:rRNA from 1 species